AGCGAACGCUGGCGGCAGGCCUAACACAUGCAAGUCGAACGGACCCUUCGGGGUUAGUGGCGGACGGGUGAGUAACACGUGGGAACGUGCCUUUAGGUUCGGAAUAGCUCCUGGAAACGGGUGGUAAUGCCGAAUGUGCACUUUGGGGGAAAGAUUUAUCGCCUUUAGAGCGGCCCGCGUCUGAUUAGCUAGUUGGUGAGGUAAUGGCUCACCAAGGCGACGAUCAGUAGCUGGUCUGAGAGGAUGACCAGCCACAUUGGGACUGAGACACGGCCCAAACUCCUACGGGAGGCAGCAGUGGGGAAUCUUGCGCAAUGGGCGAAAGCCUGACGCAGCCAUGCCGCGUGGAUGAUGAAGGUCUUAGGAUUGUAAAAUCCUUUCACCGGUGAAGAUAAUGACUGUAGCCGGAGAAGAAGCCCCGGCUAACUUCGUGCCAGCAGCCGCCGUAAGAC
rnacentral:rRNA from 1 species